UCAACUCAGGUGCCCAGAAGACUUUUUAGGACCAUGGUUAUUUUCUCUGGGGUAUUUCUUGAGUGGGGUUCAUGGUGAAAAGGUGUCUGGGGCGUCAGGUUGCUCAGGACAUCCCUGGGUACCAGCCCUGCUCAGUUGUUCCCAACAGCAUCCACAGGAAUGGACUUUUGGUUCUGUUUCUACUUACUGGUUGAUUUUUGUGUACUCGAGUGAUGACUGAGGAAGAAUCAGAAGGCAACUUGCGGAGGUACAGCUGAAGAAUUUUAGCAUCCUGAAUUUGAUGCCUUGAGGAGGAGAGGUCCCAGCCAACUGGAAGCUGGUGAAAUGUCGUCCUGACUUUCAAGAAGGACAAGAAGGAGGACCCCAGAAACUACAGGCCUAUUAGUCUCACUUCAGUGCCUGCAGAGUAUAUAGGGCACUGCACGGAUGAAAUGGAGCAAAAUUUCACAGAAAGGAUAAACAGAGGGAUCUUUAACUCCCAGAAUGGGCUGCUCCUUUGGAGGUGCAACGUCAAAUUCACGCUGCAGUUGUUGUUCAACUUGUAAAGAUUAAAAUUAAUGCCUUGGAGCCAAGCAGACCCCUUACUGGCUACCUGAAGGAGACCUAGGCCAUGUCUACACAGCUUUGUUUGCCCUACAAAUCGCUGCCUUGCUCUCCGUGGCUUGGAGGACACCUACAGCUGCCUCUUCACAAAACUCUUCUGUGCCAAUGAAGUGAUGUUUAGCAGAGGGUACAUGCAAUCUCAUAAUCUUUAGUGGGGCUGGAAGCUUGCCGGGCCACACUACAUCCAUGUGCAUAGCAGGCCCAUCAGGCUUUGGAGUAAAAUCAUCAGCACAAAUAUUACAUUCCUUCCCUAGGGAUAUGGCACUUUCUCUACAUGCAACAAUAGAAAAUAGGCUCUUCUUUCAGUCAGUAUUAACUUUAAAUUUAGCCUUUAGUUUUGCACAUCAAUAAAAAACCACAGGGCCACAUAUUCGAUUUACUCAAAUCCAUUCUUUCCCACUGGUAUCAAUGGAAAUGUAUGGGUAUAAAUCAGCUUUACAG